GACAGAGGUCCCGAGCGUUGUUCGGAUUCAUUGGGCGUAAAGGGUGUGUAGGAGGUCGGGUAAGUCAGGUGCGAAAUCUCACAGCUUAACUGUGAAACUGCGCUUGAUACUGCUCGGCUAGAGGAUCGGAGGGGGUAACGGAAUUUAUGGUGUAGCAGUGAAAUGCGUAGAUAUCAUAAGGAACACCGGUGGCGAAGGCGGUUACCUGGAAGAUUCCUGACUCUGAAACACGAAAGCCAGGGGAGCAAACGGG
rnacentral:rRNA from 1 species